rnacentral:rRNA from 1 species
CGUACAGGUCUCCGUAGGUGAACCUGCGGANGGAUCAUUACACAAUAACCAGGCGGGCUGGACACCCCCCGCUGGGCACUGCUUCACGGCGUGCGCGGCGGGGCCGGCCCUGCUGAAUUAUUCACCCGUGUCUUUUGCGUACUUCUUGUUUCCUGGGUGGGCUCGCCCGCCCUCAGGACCAACCACAAACCUUUUGCAAUAGCAAUCAGCGUCAGUAACAACGUAAUUAAUUACAACUUUCAACAACGGAUCUCUUGGUUCUGGCAUCGAUGAAGAACGCAGCGAAAUGCGAUACGUAGUAUGAAUUGCAGAAUUCAGUGAAUCAUCGAAUCUUUGAACGCACAUUGCGCCCUUUGGUAUUCCAAAGGGCAUGCCUGUUCGAGCGUCAUUUGUACCCUCAAGCUUUGCUUGGUGUUGGGCGUCUUUUGUCUCCAGUUCGCUGGAGACUCGCCUUAAAGUCGUUGGCAGCCGGCCUACUGGUUUCGGAGCGCAGCACAAGUCGCGCUCUUUGCCAGCCAAGGUCAGCGUCCAGCAAGCCUUUUUUUCAACCUUUGACCUCNGAUCAGGUAGGGAUACCCGCUGAACUUAAGCAUAUCA